GUCAGUGUGAAUGAGACUGAGGGAGGGUUUUGUACGACCCUUUAUCACUGUGUGAACACAUACUUGUUGUCAAUCUUGUGUCGGGGCAUACAGUAAUAUUGUGCUUCGUCUUCUUUCUGGACUCCACUGAUGGUCAGAGUGAAGUCAGUGUGAGCGCCAUUGCCGCUGAAUCUAGAUGGGAUGUUUGAGGGGCGCUGGUGUAUGUAAUAAAUGAGGAGUUUGGGAGCCUGUCCAGGUUUGUGCUGGUACCAGAACAUGCAGUUCCUCCAGAGACUACAGUCAGCAACCGAAGAUGUCAGAGGUGACUGAGGGCUGAAGAAAGUGAGCAGAAUGGGUUAUUCAGCUGCAAUAAAAUUCCUGUCUGCAGAAUAACACAUGACAAGAUCCCAUAAGCCAGGCAAUCCUGAUGCUUCCCAGUAGGUCCUGCUCUCUCCUGGGAAUGAAGCCAUAUCUGAGUCCCCUAUGACAGAACUACAAGAGGAAAAAUCAAAGUCUGUGUAGGGGGCCUCCAAAAAUUGACUUUGACGAAGAGAGACCUUGGAGUUAUAAAGGUUGAGAGCCACUGAUCUAGAGCGGUCUAAACUGUCACAGCUUUCAGCUACAUUGGCCAGCAUGUAAUAAUUUAAUUUUCCAAGCAAAAUAGCCUUUGGGCUGAACUUCAUUUCAAUAUUCAUUGUACAGGUACAGCAAGAUUAGGUAAGUUUGUCCCUGGAUGUUCUCUUCUAGUUACAAGCAAAUUUCCAAUCUUUUUUUCAGGCAGCAGUGAUGAAGAGGUGAAGAUAUGAGCUGUGAUAGUGACAAUUGCUUUUCCCUCAUUUCCUAUUUAAAAAAAAUUCAUACAUGUCAUUUCAAAAAUGUCAUUAUCAUGCAUAAUUUUGCAUGUUUAAUUCAGAGCUGCUUCUCUAGAGCUCUGCAUACUUUAACUGAAAUGUUUUUUUGUUUGUUUGUUAAUUUGCCUUUUUUCUUCAAAUGGCACGUACUAAAAUAGCUGGUGGAUAAAGAAUAUUAUUCUUGGAAAUGAAAAAAACAGAGGUGAAAAUGGAAUUUGACCUUUUUGUUACGUUCUUAAACUUGUUUAAGAAGCUUCCCGUAGACAAAACAGCACAACAGAGUAGAUUUGAAAGCCCUAAAUGUUCUCCGAGUGCAAAAUCAAUAAACACAUCUAAAAGCAUUUACCUUAGACCUCAUACGUCUGAAACAAACAUCCAAAUAAUGUGCACCAUUCCGCAUUAAUGUCAGUUUUAGCUAUGACCAAAUCUGCCAUCGUAAUGUCUCAACCCAUGUGAUGGCAAAUUCACGGUCUCCUGAAAUUGCUUUCAAAAUGCCAUUGCAGGCAUUAAGGCACUUCAAUUCAUGCAGGAGAACUGCUUUACUGUCAUCAGAAUCCUGUGAGAGCAGUUUGAGAGGUGGAGAUAAGGCAGGAUACUGUACACAGGCCACAGAAAAUGUCUCGCUCCACGCCUCUUCUUUAUGGGAACUGUAAAUCCUGAGUGCCUGCAGCAUAGAUGCUUCCCUCAUUCAUUUUCAAGGAGUUAUCUUGCCAUAUGAGGAUUUCAUACUCAAUGUUUGUCUGAAAUUACCUUAAAGAUUUCUGUUAGUUCAUAAAAUACAGUUAAAUAUGUUAUAUUAGAUCAAUCAGUUGCUGCAUCCAAUGGUCUGUAAAUUCCUAAUAUUCAUUGUUGUUCAUGGAAGUGCAAUAGAGCUGGUGCUUCUUUAAUGUUACUCGUAUCACACUGACUUGUGUGGACGCUUGUUUCAGCCAAAGAAUAAAAAAAUAAAUAAAACUUGUUUGCUACUUUUUCUCCCACAAUUGUGUUUAGAUCUUGCAUUUCUCAUUUCUUUAAUCAGAAUUCUCACCACGAAAUAAAAAAAUAAAGAUAAUUGCAACUUUUUAUAUUACAGUUUUGAAUUCAGUCGCUACACUAGACUUUUAUUUUAAUUAGAAUUGCAAGUUCUUUUUUGUAUUCCAGUUUAUUGCGUGUUGUCUGAUUUAUGAAAAAGACCCCAUUAGAUUUGUAUUUAUUUUAUUUUAUUUUUUGUUUUAUUCCGUGGCAGAAACAAGCUUCUAUAGACUUGCUCUUUCUCUAUCAAACAAACAAAGUUGCCACCAUCUUGCUAGUUAUAUAUUGUCAUGAAAAUGGCUUCAGAUGACUUCAGUAUUAAUACUAUAAUGUUGCAGUGUUCAUCUUGUAGCUAGUACAAUUCGUUUAGACAUUGUAAUGAAUUGUUUUCUUGGUGAUAUUCACCUAAAAAAAAAAAGUAUUUCAUCACCAUAUGUUAAAGGUGCUGUAGGGAACUUUUUUAAAAAAAAUAUUUUUUACAUAUUUAUUAAACCUGUCAUUAUGUCCUGACAGUAGAAUAUGAGACAGAUAAUCUGUGAAAAAAAUCAAGCUCCUCUGGCUCCUCCCAGUGCUCCUAUUGCCAUUUGCAGAAAGUCAUAAAAAAUAACCAAUCAGAGCUGCGGUCCGUAACUUUGUUUGUGUUCAAAAUGUAGAAAAAUGUAUAUAAUAAGCGAGUACACCAUGAAUCCAUUUUCCAAACCGUGUUUUUAGCUUGUCCUGAAUCACUAGGGUGCACCUAUAAUAAGUGUUUAUAUUCGGACUAUUUUAGAUUGCUUCGGGGUACCGCGGCGGAGUAACCCAGUACCUUUGUGAUUCUUCAUAGACAUAAACAGAGAGAAGUAGUUCCGGCUACGAUGUUCUUCUGCAAGACGCAAGCAGUUCUGUUUAUUAACUGCUAGAGCAUCAAAAGUUCCCUACCGCAGCUUUAAUUUAUAUAUUAAUUAUAUUAAUCACUACCUACAAUUUUUAUUUAAACCAAGUGUGACCAACUUAAAUUGCAUGCAGACUUUGCAAAGGGAGAUACUUUUGUAAUGACUUGAUUUUGACCGCGAAGAUUGGCCAAACCACAGUAAAUGUUGACCUAGCGCAACAGUCAGACAUGUCUGCAUGUUUAAAUAGAACAACAAUGGCAAAGCAAAGCAGUGAAAUGCAAAUUGUGGGAUUGUGGUAUCGUGAAAACGUGCAUUGUUUGAUUAUUAGUGAGAUUUGUGCCUACAGCUCUUGGAAAAUGAUAGUUUUCAACAUUUUAUCUGGAGCUCAAAAAGCUCAAGCCACCAAUUUACUGGCUAUAGAGAGCUUUUUAGAUUUUCAGGGAAGACAGGUCAACUGUGAAAUAGACUUACUGAUAAAACCCUGCCUUUACAAAUAUCACACCGGGUCAUUGUAGAACUUGUUUAAUUUAAAACUGAAAAAAAAAAAAAAUAGUCUGUUUAUAUGGCAAAAUGUUAGGUCAGAUGAUUGAAAAUUAUCUUGCAUGUUACAGUCUCAAUCUCAAACUCUUUAUUUUAUUAUUAACCAGAAGAUGGCAAAGGUGAGCCGCCAGACGUGUGUAUAAGUGAUCAUAUAUGCAUUCCUUCUUUCCUCCCAUCUCUCUCUGUUUAAUAAUUGAUCACUUGAAUUUCUUAAGUCAUAGCAUCAUAACUAAAAACACCUGUUUUGUCUGGACAAGUUUGAAUCAAAUCCUUAAGCCCAUUAAACUUUAUUGUGUAACUCGUCCCACACCAUUUGUGCUACAAACAUUUUGUUGAGGAGAGGUGUGUCACUAACAGUGGAUUGUCAACUCACAUUUCCUUCUUAAAAUGAUUUAAUUGAUUAUGUAGAUUGUCUGUACUACUAAUAUGUAUCCUGUCAUAAUUAUAUGUCUUUGAUUGUGAAACAUCUAUGGUCCUCUGAGAAAAUGACCAGGAGUGGUUGAAAUUACUGUAGUUUAUAUGAUAGAAAUAAAUCCAGAAUGCACGAAAAAUGGCAACAUCUCUAUUUAACAGUAUAUGUACAGAAAGACAAUAGAGUACAAAUUUGCCAUGCAGAGUGAUUCUUAGGUUUGUCUGUGAUUAGUUGCAGUGGGUAUAUUUUCUGAGACACAAACAGCCAAUUACCACUUCAUUGAGAUGUAUAAAUGUUCAUCAUGCAAUGCCUUCAUUUAACUGGAAGUUAAACGAAGAUUUAGACGUUCUCAUAACAGACAAGCACAAAUUUGAAUGGCAGUGCCGUGAAUGAUGUUCUUAAUUAAGAUUUUCAUUAAUGAGUCAAUAAUGAGCACUCUUUCAGAGUGUGUCAGAAGACACCCAGCGGGCAAAUAAGAAUCUGUUCAUUAAGUACCGUGGUUAUAUUUGAGGAAGAGUUUCUCUUGAUGUUAAAAUAAUCAAUUUGUAAGCGUGCCGAUUUGAAAUUAUGUGUCGAAAUUGUGAGCUGAGAACUUUGAACUUUUAAAUGGUCGUUCAGUGAAUGAAGGCAACCGUCAUCAUCAUUUUAACCCUCAUAAUGUGUAUUGUGAAUGUCGUACAAUGCAAGUCUUGGUUCUUAAUAAUGCAGCAUAAUUUUGCUAAUAUUUCAGAAUAUGGCUUGUACCAGUAAUUGUAAUACUCAUUGAAAAGUUGUAUGAAAUGCUAAUUCUUAUUAUACUGCUAAAGCUUUGGGUUAAUGCCUUGGAAUAACACUGAACCUCCUGAGCCUCACUGCAACGCUUUACAUAAGACCUAAAUUAACACCUACCUACAUGAAUAAUAGUGGAGAGGGAAAGUAGGUGAGAUUGAGCCGCUGUAGUGUGCCUUGUGUGUGCUGUAAUUUAAUAAUCAUUGUAUGGCUUUGAUGAUAUUACAAAAAAUUUGAUCAAAGCCACACAAAUUUCAAAAAUGUGUGAGCUGAAAUAUUUAUGAGGACACACUUUUAUAGGGAACAAGCAAAGAAAAAGGGGGUCAUUGCAAACUUUUGGUUAGUGUGUUGCUAGGCGUUUUGAAUUUUUUUGAUUGGUUGUUGUGGUGCAUAGGUUAUUUUUUUUAUAGAUUCUAAACAGCUCUUUCGCGACUCAAGUGUUUAUGAUAUUCAGCUUUUUAUUUUUUUGUGUGUGCAUUUUAUCGUCAUUGAUUGCUGAGAGCUUAGAAAAGUAAAAGCACUGUUUGAAGUAGUACAAACAGUGUGGGGUGACUUGGGUUUGGGGUUUUACAGGCCGUUUGUAAAUACUAAGGCCCCAUUUGCGUUUUCGUUUUAAAACUGCGUUUUAGAAUUAAAACGAUCUGCGUUUUCACUGGAGUUUCAGAAACAAUCUCCGUCUACACUACAUAACUGGAAACACAAGUCACGUGACCAUUCAUGCACACUGGGCAUGUACAUAAAAGUGUAAAAAAGAAGUUGGUUGCUAGUCACUGGCAGGUUCAUCAAUGAGCUUGAUUACUGUUCAUGAUAUGAUUACACGAUCACGUGGGAAGCCAUGCCAUCAUUUAUGAAAGUCUCCGUUUUGGUCCGUUUACACUGAAACGCAACCCCAGAGUUUUCAAACUAAAACAUGGUCAGCAGCUUUUUCCAAAAGUCUCCAUUUUUGAAUGUGGAAAUUUAAAAAAAAAAUUUAAAACUAAAAUCGCACUAGUGUAAACAGUGCCUAAACAAGGCCAUGCUCUAUAUUCUGCAUUAUAUCUCUAAUAACAAUAGAGGGCUGUUAGAUAAAUACUCCACAUCACUAAUAAUAAAUUAUACAACAUUUCCCCCGACAAACAGCAUGAGUAAUGCACUGUGAUGAAUUGUGCUUUUGUAAAAUUGAAAGUUUGUUCUUGGAUCUCCAAAAGACAUUCAGAUCUCUUUUUCUGUUUCCUCUCUAGGUUUACCGCAGUCAGUCAACAGUCUACACCUUCUCACAGAGCUUCAACACACUAAAGACCAGAUCUGAAUUCCCUCGUUCAAGGCUGUUUCAGGCUAUUUUAAUGCCAUAGCUGCUGUUUCCUUGGUUGGCGUCUCCUUAACAGGCAACAGCCUAGUUUGGCUAGAAUUGGCCCUGUCUGGGGUGAAAAUCUUCAUUAAAAUCUUCUAAUCUUCCACAGCCGGUGCACUUCUUGCAUUGGCAUUUUGCUUGACAUCCAAAAACUUACAGAACUGCAGCUCUGAGCAGUUAAUGCUAAAUACCAAAUUGCCUCUUUGUCUCCGUAGCUGUGCUUUAGACAUUAAAAUAAGUGAGGAAUAUCGAUUACGCUGUCGCUCGUGUGAAGGGGGACAGGUCCUUUCCUGACUAAUUUGUAGGAAAAUGCACCUUGUGGCUCCUCCCUUGACACAGUGUUUAUUCAGCAGAAAUAAUUGGUAAUAGCGGAAAGGUAACGUGAGCAGAAUGAUCAUAUUUCUGCCUGUGCUGGUAACAUCUCAUGCAUUUUUAUGCAGUACAGCAGCAGUAUUAGAACCGAUAAUGUUCAGUAAUUAAAGCUUCAUGAAUGGGUGAAAUGGAGCCUGUACUGAAACUCAUUGCUUAUUUUGUAUAGUGCAGUGGUGCUCAUUUCAGCUGGCGGACCAUUAAAAAAAAAAAAAAAAACCUUGAGGACCACUGAACAACCCAAAUCUCCUUUGUUCAUAUUGUUUUUUCCAUUCAUCAAGAAUCCUGAAGAAUAUAUCAUGGUUUCCACAAAAAAUGGAGAAGCACAACUGUUUUCAACAUUGAUGACAAUAAACAUUGAACAGCAAUCAAAAUAUUAUAAUGAUUUCUGACACUGAAGACUGAAAAUACAGCAUUGCAUGGCAGGAAUAAAUUACAUAUUAAAAUAUAUUACAAUUGA